rnacentral:sRNA from 1 species
AACUAGCCCCGAUAGCAGCGGCAUCCUUUUUUUGCGAUGGGAAAAGCUUUGGCAAAAAAGAUAUAGCGGAUAGCGGGAUUAAGC